rnacentral:misc_RNA from 1 species
GAUGAAGAACGUAGCGAAAUGCGAUAAGUAAUGUGAAUUGCAGAAUUCAGUGAAUCAUCGAAUCUUUGAACGCACCUUGCGCCCUUUGGCCAUUCCGAAGGGCAUGCCUGUUUGAGUAUCAUGAACACCUCAACUCUUCAUGGUUUUCCGUGAUGAGCUUGGACUUUGGGGGUCUUGCUGGCCUAUGGUCAGCUCCUCUAAAAUAAAUCAGCUUGCCAGUGUUUGGUGGGUAUCACAGGUGUGAUAACUAUCUACGCUUGUGGUUUUCCACCAGGUAACCUUCAGCAGAGGAGGUUCGCUGGAGCUCACAGAUGUGUCUCUCCUCAGUGAGGACAGCUCUUUGAAUGUUUGAUCUCAAAUCAGGUAGGACUACCCGCUGAACUUAAGCAUAUCAAUAAGCGGAGGA